rnacentral:rRNA from 1 species
UGGUGGCGAGCGGCGGACGGGUGAGUAAUGCCUAGGAAUCUGCCUGGUAGUGGGGGAUAACGCUCGGAAACGGACGCUAAUACCGCAUACGUCCUACGGGAGAAAGCAGGGGACCUUCGGGCCUUGCGCUAUCAGAUGAGCCUAGGUCGGAUUAGCUAGUUGGUGAGGUAAUGGCUCACCAGGGCGACGAUCCGUAACUGGUCUGAGAGGAUGAUCAGUCACACUGGAACUGAGACACGGUCCAGACUCCUACGGGAGGCAGCAGUGGGGAAUAUUGGACAAUGGGCGAAAGCCUGAUCCAGCCAUGCCGCGUGUGUGAAGAAGGUCUUCGGAUUGUAAAGCACUUUAAGUUGGGAGGAAGGGCAGUUACCUAAUACGUGAUUGUUUUGACGUUACCGACAGAAUAAGCACCGGCUAACUCUGGGGGCGGGGGGGGGCGGUAAUACAG